rnacentral:rRNA from 1 species
CCUACGGGAGGCUGCAGUGGGGAAUUUUGCGCAAUGCUCGUAAGAGUGACGCAGCGACGCCGCGUGAAUGACGAAGGCCUUCCGGUCGUAAAGUUCCUUCGACAGGGAAGUAAAUGCCUUUACGUAACUGUGUUUGUAUUGACGGUAUCUGUAUAAGCAGCCUCGGCUAACUCCGUGCCAGGAGCCGCGGUAAUACGGAGGGGGCUUGCGCUGUUCGGAGUGACUGGGGGUAAAGAGCACGUAGGUGGGUGUGUAAGUCAGCAGUCAAAGACUAGAGCUCAACUUUGGUACGGCAAGGGAUACUAGAGUGCUAGAGUAUCAGGGAGGAUGGCAGAAUUCCUGGUGUAGCGGUGAAAUGCGUAGAUAUCAGGAAGAAUACCGAGAGCGAAGGCAGCAAUCUGGCUGGGAACUGACGCUGAGGUGCGAAAGCGUGGGUAGCGAACAGGAUUAGAUACCCUUGUAGUC